rfam:Brachypodium distachyon strain Bd21 chromosome 3, whole genome shotgun sequence.
AAGUUACUCCCUCCGAUCCAUAUUAAUUGUCUCAAAUUUGUCUGAAUAUGGAUGUAUCUAUGCCUAAAAAACGUCUAGAUACAUGUAAUAUUUCGACAAGUAAUAUGGAUCGGAGGGAGUAGUAC